GUAGGUUUCCUACGGGAGGCAGCAGUGGGGAAUAUUGCACAAUGGGCGAAAGCCUGAUGCAGCGACGCCGCGUGAGGGAUGACGGCCUUCGGGUUGUAAACCUCUUUCAGCAGGGAAGAAGCGAGAGUGACGGUACCUGCAGAAGAGCCCUAUCCCC
rnacentral:rRNA from 1 species